UGCCCUAGUACGGCGAGUGAGCGGCAACAGCUCAAAUUUGAAAUCUGGCUCUCGGGCCCGAGUUGUAAUUUGUAGAGGAUGCUUUUGAUGCGGUGCCUUCCGAGUUCCCUGGAACGGGACGCCAUAGAGGGUGAGAGCCCCGUCUGGUUGGAUGCCAAAUCUCUGUAAAGCUCCUUCGACGAGUCGAGUAGUUUGGGAAUGCUGCUCUAAAUGGGAGGUAUAUGUCUUCUAAAGCUAAAUACCGGCCAGAGACCGAUAGCGCACAAGUAGAGUGAUCGAAAGAUGAAAAGCACUUUGAAAAGAGAGUUAAAAAGUACGUGAAAUUGUUGAAAGGGAAGCGUUUAUGACCAGACUUGGGCUUGGUUAAUCAUCUGGGGUUCUCCCCAGUGCACUUUUCCAGUCCAGGCCAGCAUCAGUUUUCGCCGGGGGAUAAAGGCUUCGGGAAUGUGGCUCUCUCCGGGGAGUGUUAUAGCCCGUUGCGUAAUACCCUGGCGGGGACUGAGGUUCGCGCAUCUGCAAGGAUGCUGGCGUAAUGGUCAUCAACGACCCGUCUUGAAACACGGACCAAGGAGUCGUCUUCGUAUGCGAGUGUUCGGGUGUCAAACCCCUACGCGUAAUGAAAGUGAACGCAGGUGAGAGCUUCGGCGCAUCAUCGACCGAUCCUGAUGUUCUCGGAUGGAUUUGAGUAAGAGCAUACGGGGCCGGACCCGAAAGAAGGUGAACUAUGCCUGUGUAGGGUGAAGCCAGAGGAAACUCUGGUGGAGGCUCGCAGCGGUUCUGACGUGCAAAUCGAUCGUCAAACAUGGGCAUG
rnacentral:rRNA from 1 species